rnacentral:misc_RNA from 1 species
GAUGAAGAACGUAGCAAAAUGCGAUAAGUAAUGUGAAUUGCAGAAUUCAGUGAAUCAUCGAAUCUUUGAACGCACAUUGCGCCCGCUGGUAUUCCGGCGGGCAUGCCUGUUCGAGCGUCAUUUCAACCCUCAAGCCCCCGGGUUUGGUGUUGGGGAUCGGCUCUGCCCUUCUGGGCGGUGCCGCCCCCGAAAUACAUCGGCGGUCUCGCUGCAGCCUCCAUUGCGUAGUAGCUAACACCUCGCAACUGGAACGCGGCGCGGCCAUGCCGUAAAACCCCAACUUCUGAAUGUUGACCUCGGAUCAGGUAGGAAUACCCGCUGAACUUAAGCAUAUCAAUAAGCGGAGGA